rnacentral:rRNA from 1 species
UGGGGAAUAUUGCACAAUGGGCGCAAGCCUGAUGCAGCCAUGCCGCGUGUGUGAAGAAGGCCUUCGGGUUGUAAAGCACUUUCAGCGAGGAGGAAGGGUGGUGUGUUAAUAGCACAUUGCAUUGACGUUACUCGCAGAAGAAGCACCGGCUAACUCCGUGCCAGCAGCCGCGGUAAUACGGAGGGUGCAAGCGUUAAUCGGAAUUACUGGGCGUAAAGCGCACGCAGGCGGUUUGUUAAGUCAGAUGUGAAAUCCCCGCGCUUAACGUGGGAACUGCAUUUGAAACUGGCAAGCUAGAGUCUUGUAGAGGGGGGUAGAAUUCCAGGUGUAGCGGUGAAAUGCGUAGAGAUCUGGAGGAAUACCGGUGGCGAAGGCGGCCCCCUGGACAAAGACUGACACUGAGGUGCGAAAGCGUGGGGAGCAAACA